GUUAUCUAGGUUACUAUGGGUUAUAUGUAGGUGACUAUGGAUUCAUUAUGUAGGUUACUAUGGAUUCAUUAUGUAGGUUACUAUGGAUUCAUUCUAUAG
rnacentral:lncRNA from 1 species